AACCUAUGAUGGUAUAAGAGUAGUGGACAGAAAGAAUUUCUGAAAAACCUGAUUAUCUGAGGCA